rnacentral:rRNA from 1 species
GAUGAACGCUGGCGGCGUGCUUAACACAUGCAAGUCGAGCGGGAAACCUUUUAAUGAAGCUUCGGCAGAUUUAGCUGGUUUCUAGUGGCGGACGGGUGAGUAACGCGUGGGUAACCUGCCUUAUACAGGGGGAUAACAGUCAGAAAUGACUGCUAAUACCGCAUAAGCGCACAGGACCGCAUGGUCCGGUGUGAAAAACUCCGGUGGUAUAAGAUGGACCCGCGUUGGAUUAGCUUGUUGGUGGGGUAACGGCUCACCAAGGCGACGAUCCAUAGCCGGCCUGAGAGGGUGAACGGCCACAUUGGGACUGAGACACGGCCCAGACUCCUACGGGAGGCAGCAGUGGGGAAUAUUGCACAAUGGGGGAAACCCUGAUGCAGCGACGCCGCGUGAAGGAAGAAGUAUCUCGGUAUGUAAACUUCUAUCAGCAGGGAAGAUAGUGACGGUACCUGACUAAGAAGCCCCGGCUAACUACGUG